rnacentral:rRNA from 1 species
AUUGAACGCUGGCGGCAUGCCUUACACAUGCAAGUCGAACGGUAACAGGUCUUCGGAUGCUGACGAGUGGCGAACGGGCGAGUAAUACAUCGGAACGUGCUUAGUAGUGGGGGAUAACUACUCGAAAGAGUGGCUAAUACCGCAUGAGAUCUAGGGAUGAAAGCAGGGGAUCACAAGACCUUGUGCUACUAGAGCGGCCGAUGGCAGAUUAGGUAGUUGGUGGGAUAAAAGCUUACCAAGCCGACGAUCUGUAGCUGGUCUGAGAGGACGAUCAGCCACACUGGGACUGAGACACGGCCCAGACUCCUACGGGAGGCAGCAGUGGGGAAUUUUGGACAAUGGGCGCAAGCCUGAUCCAGCAAUGCCGCGUGCAGGAUGAAGGCCUUCGGGUUGUAAACUGCUUUUGUACGGAACGAAAAGCCCUGGGUUAAUACCCUGGGGUCAUGACGGUACCGUAAGAAUAAGCACCGGCUAACUACGUGCCAGCCGCCGCAGUAACAC